rnacentral:sRNA from 1 species
UUUUAGCCCUGAUGGAAGCGGCAUCCUUUUGUCCCGAUUCUUUUUCGGGAUAAAAGAUACAGUGGACAGCAGGAUUAGCU